CAUCCAUGAUGAGGGCAUUUCCUGAUGAUAUCCUUGAACCUCUCAUAUGCUUCAAACAAUAUUUCAGAUUCUCGAUGCUUGAAUGUUGAGAUUUACUUUCUAAUUUC